CAACAAGAAGAGAAGAGGGGUGCUGAAGAGAGCCUGCAGAGCAAGAGGGAGAUGACAAAUCUUCUCCCUCUGCUCUUUACAAGUUACCCAGUGCUAUCAUCCUGUCAGCUAACACAGGCACCGCUGAGGAGGAAGGAAGUGUGAGGACUGCCCCCCUACCCCCACACCGAGGAGCCGGACUGCAGGCAGUGACAGUAAUGGAUUUCACAUACCACUCGGGGACUUGCCAUGAUGCCACUCCUUUCAUUAUACCCCUUCAUUCUUGCACCAUGACCAUCAGGCAUCUUGAGGAACAGUACAUCACCAUGCAACUUCUGAUUAUCUAAAUAUUCCAAGUCUGGCGCUCUAUACUCCAAACUACGGAAUCGGUCCAUGCACACCGACGAUACAGCGGCCCUGGUUCAUAGACACCGGUUGUAUAUCAGGAACAUGCCUUUCAAAGAUUGGUGUCGGUCCAUACACACCGACG